ACGGACUGGGGGAAGUAAACGGACGAGCCCUGGUCUCUGCUGUAGCGAUGCAGGUCCACGACGUAGAGAAGGUCCCUGCAGACACAGGACGAGGACGAGGACGAGGACGCCUGCACGGAGACAGAGACGGGCGAGCUACGCUCCGUUUUCUGAAUGGAGACGGACGUUGUUAGCGGGAAACGGGGUGAGGAGGCGGCAGCGAGAAACACGUGACCAACACAAGACGAAGCACCAAAACAACAACGGGACCUUGGACGGGUCGAGUCUGGAUCGGGCCAGGGUUCUGUGGAAGACGCAGCCAGCAGCAGCCAUAUUGGACACAAUAGUAACAAUAACAGAGCGGUGCAUUGUGGGAAAUAGAGGCAGAGGCGGCUGUUAACGCCAGAAACUCGUUUAUUAGAUUGACGUGGGUGAAUGUGAAUGAAUCUGUUGUACUACUUGUACUAGACCGCCGUGAGACCGGUUAGUUUUACCCUACUGAUGAUGUGUUGCUGCAAUAGUAAUCCUGCUAGUACAAGUACUGUUUGACCUUGUGCCGGUCGUCUGAGCAGAAGACGUCUGAGCAGAACCUCAGAUCCAGCUUAUACCACUGAGGAGCAACUGGUAAAAAUGACAUUUUAACUGAUUGUCUCUUUAAUGGUUAGUUAGAUUCUAUUGUUGUAAAUUACCUUGAAAUGACUUGUUGUGAACUGGUGCCACAUAAAUAAAACUGAAUUAAAAGCAGCAUAACCGUGUAAAGAUGACUAAUCGUACCAGCAAGUGAUGGUAAACUAUGGCCUGCUCGUAUCUGCGACCCAUCGUUGGGUCAGAUCUGGACUCCAUCAAUCUGGACGCUUCACUGAGACGUUCCUGUGGUUCCUCCUUCAUCCAUGUUCUGCCUGAUGAUCCCAGACAUUUGAUCUGGUCUCCUUUUGUGUUCCUGCACCUCUCUGGUCGACUGCUUUGGUUUAAAAAUUAAAUUUAU